GAAAACUUCUUAUCUUUGGGUUUUGUUCGUACUUUUCCCUUUUACUUUGGAAACAAUAAAAGCGCGGUGGUGAAUCUGAUUUUAUUGACGUUGAGUUUAUCCAUAGCUUAAUGGUCAUGAAUUUACCGUUACAAUAGUACUUCAAAUGCUUGUGAUUGUAGUUAGUUGAUUGACUUUUGUUUAAAGGAUGCCAAAAGAGUUGAAAUCAUGAGAUUUAUCAAUGUUGAUUUUUAGACAUGAUGCACGACUAAAUAUGCCCACGAGUUCGGCAUU
rnacentral:lncRNA from 1 species